UGCCCCAGUAACGGCGAGUGAAGCGGCAACAGCUCAAAUUUGAAAUCUGGCCCCCCCCCGCGGGGCCCGAGUUGUAAUUUGCAGAGGAUGCUUUUGGCGCGGCGCCUUCCGAGUUCCCUGGAACGGGACGCCAUAGAGGGUGAGAGCCCCGUCUGGUCGGACGCCCAGCCUCUGUAAAGCUCCUUCGACGAGUCGAGUAGUUUGGGAAUGCUGCUCUAAAUGGGAGGUAUAUGUCUUCUAAAGCUAAAUACUGGCCAGAGACCGAUAGCGCACAAGUAGAGUGAUCGAAAGAUGAAAAGCACUUUGAAAAGAGGGUUAAACAGUACGUGAAAUUGUUGAAAGGGAAGCGCUUGUGACCAGACAUGGGCGCGGCGAAUCAUCCGGCGUUCUCGCCGGUGCACUUCGCCGCGCCCGGGCCAGCAUCAGUUCGCGGCGGGGGACAAAGGCGCCGGGAACGUGGCUCCCCCGGGAGUGUUAUAGCCCGGCGCGCAAUGCCCCGCGGCGGACUGAGGUUCGCGCAUCCGCAAGGAUGCUGGCGUAAUGGUCACCAGUGACCCGUCUUGAAACACGGACCAAGGAGUCGUCCUCGUAUGCGAGUGUUCGGGUGUCAAACCCCUACGCGCAAUGAAAGUGAACGCAGGUGAGAGCCUCACGGCGCAUCAUCGACCGAUCCUGAUGUUCUCGGAUGGAUUUGAGUAAGAGCAUACGGGGCCGGACCCGAAAGAAGGUGAACUAUGCCUGUGUAGGGUGAAGCCAGAGGAAACUCUGGUGGAGGCUCGCAGCGGUUCUGACGUGCAAAUCGAUCGUCAAACAUGGGCAUGGGGGCGAAAGACUAAUC
rnacentral:rRNA from 1 species